CUGAGCGCGAACAACUGAGCAGCGCGCUGCAUUUUCCUGUCCAGGCGCAGUUCACGUGAUGGAGCGUUCACGCGCUUAGAAAACUUCAGCGCUGAACAAAUAGGCUUUCAGACACAUCUGCACAACUUUGUUGUUUCUGACGAGAGAAUUCGCUAGAAAGAGGUAUUCANCAGUGAGCCCCUCCCCCUCCUCGACGCCUCAACUCUACCUUCGCGCCGCGAGCAUUUUGAAUCACCUCAGGAGUCAAGAGCCAUCGUUUUUCAGCGAGGACAGCUGUUAUUCGGAGAAAAAAGGAGACUGCCUCUUCUUUGCUCAUACUCCCACUGACAGGGUGCAGAAUAAUGGAUAAUUUUGUACAGGAGAAGCUGAAAGAAUGGAACUUGGAAGUCCUGAUACCAAGCUUUAAAGAUGAACAAAUUGAUGAAGAAACCCUCCUGCUACUUGAUGAAAAAUCGCUAGAAGCUAUGAUACCAAAAAUAGGCCUGCGAUUGAAAUUUAAAAAGCACCUGAGAGAGCUGCUUGAGCCACAACCAGAACAGAUCCAAAGUGGAUCAGCUUCCAAACCUCCUGUGGACCAACAAUGUGAAGCAGAAAUUCAGAUGUCAGUGGAGGAAGUGCCAACAUUUAAUAUUUCUGAGGUCCUAAUGAGCAGUGUCGAAGGCAAGGACGUAUUGGCCAGUCUUGAGAAGAACACUUUAUCCUUAAAUCAGCGAAGAUGCAUGGUCAGGAUACUAGUUUCACACCUUAUGAAUCGCUUUGGAGAAAACCCAUCCUCUGAGCAAAAGAUGUGUUUGGCUGUUUCUCUGGUUGAGCAAUAUCCCUGUCUUAAGGACUCCCAGGGUAAAGGCUAUGAAGCAUGGUUCAGCCCUGGACGAAGCCAUCGUCCAGCUACUGGAUUUCUGGAGGAACGCUUGCGAAAUGUCAGGAAGAGAACCCGUCGUGAAAACUGCACAAGCCGUGAGAAAGAGGAUUCUCAAGCCAUAAGCAGCACCUUGGUUAUACCAGAGCCAAGUAUUUCACCUGACAGAGCAGUACAACUUGCAGAAUGGCUUAAAAAUAAUAUGUGGCCAGCUAACCAAGUUGCAGAUUACAUGAAAGAAACAGCCAUCCACAGGGCUCAGUGGAUAAGAGCUAACGGGACAAAAUCUAUCGAGGAAAUAACUUGUGAAUUCCCUCGACUCCUUGAUACGCCAGGCAUGAUUUCACAAGACUUCUCUGUAUUAUUCCCUGACCACGCAGAGAGACUUUUCCAAACUUGGAAAAUGAGUUUCAAAGACAAAAUCCUUUGCUUUGCCAGCCAGGAGAAAAAGGCGCAGGAGCUUCUCCAGAAUUUAGACAAUUUGUCUCCAGAAGUCCAAAGUGACGUUGCACUCAGGCUGCUUCCUGUAAUACUGCCCACCCCUGUCUACAAAAAAGGGAUGAAAAUGUUCAAACCAAGCUUGGAAGAAAAUAUCAAGUCUUUCAUUGAAUUCAAGCAUGUAAGUAAUUUUGUAUUGCACACAUCACGUGCAAACCAUACUAAGAGCAAAUUAAAAUGGCUAAACAUAUCAAGUGUUUAUAAAGUCACUGUCAUCAGCAUUAAAUUCUUUAUUUGUCAUUGCUUAGAAUCAGAAAAGAACUCCAAAAGCUAUAUACAGUGGCAAGAAAAAGUAUUUGAAACUAGAGGUCGACCGAUAUUGGAUUUUGCCGAUACCGAUAGCUAGGUUGGACCACACUGGCCGAUACUGAUAAAUUAACCGAUAAUUUAAAAAAAAAAACAGUACUUGUCACAGACACGCCAGGCUCCAACACCACCCAAUCACAGCACACGCCAUCACCUGAGUACUAAUCACACUCACCUGCUCCUCAUCUACCUGCAAUCUCCCCAGCACUCAAAAGUCACACACACACACGAAGUCACUGUCCGGUCUCGUUCGCAACUAGGUCUAUACCUACCUGCUAACUCUAAGGACUAACCAUAUACCUGACUUACCUCUCUCCGGCGAUCUCCAGUGUGCUCCUGUUCCCAUCGUGUGUGUGUGUGUCAUCUUCCUCCAUCGUCUCAAGCCACCACUUCUCGGAUCAUCCCACCUUCCAAGACACCAGCACCGUAUCCUCACCCAUUGGUUCACCAUUGCUCACCUUCACCUCUGCUUGUGUCAAAUAAACAUCAUUCCCUGUCAUUUUCA
ensembl:lncRNA